rnacentral:sRNA from 1 species
AAAGAGGAGCGAGAGCCCGGCGAUGGCGGCUGCGCCGGCCUUGAAGCACUGGCGCACCACGCUGGAGCGGGUGGAGAAGUUCGUGUCGCCGCUCUACUUUACCGACUGUAACCUCCGCGGCAGGCUUUUUGGGGCCAGCUGCCCUGUGGCUGUGCUCUCCAGCUUCCUGACGCCGGAGAGACUUCCCUACCAGGAGGCAGUCCAGCGGGACUUCCGCCCCGCGCAGGUCGGCGACAGCUUCGGACCCACAUGGUGGACCUGCUGGUUCCGGGUGGAGCUGACCAUCCCAGAGGCAUGGGUGGGCCAGGAAGUUCACCUUUGCUGGGAAAGUGAUGGAGAAGGUCUGGUGUGGCGUGAUGGAGAACCUGUCCAGGGUUUAACCAAAGAGGGUGAGAAGACCAGCUAUGUCCUGACUGACAGGCUGGGGGAAAGAGACCCCCGAAGCCUCACUCUCUAUGUGGAAGUAGCCUGCAAUGGGCUCCUGGGGGCCGGGAAGGGAAGCAUGAUUGCAGCCCCUGACCCUGAGAAGAUGUUCCAGCUGAGCCGGGCUGAGCUAGCCGUGUUCCACCGGGAUGUCCACAUGCUCCUGGUGGAUCUGGAGCUGCUGCUGGGCAUAGCCAAGCCUGGCUUUGGCCCUUCAAAGAGACUGUGAGGAAAUG